rnacentral:rRNA from 1 species
UACGUAGGGUGCGAGCGUUAAUCGGAAUUACUGGGCGUAAAGCGUGCGCAGGCGGUUUUGUAAGCCAGGGGUGAAAUCCCCGGGCUCAACCUGGGAAUGGCAUUUGGGACUGCAAGGCUGGAGUGCGGCAGAGGAGACUGGAAUUCCUGGUGUAGCAGUGAAAUGCGUAGAUAUCAGGAGGAAUACCGAUGGCGAAGGCAGGUCUCUGGGCUGACACUGACGCUCAUGCACGAAAGCGUGGGAGCAAACAGG